CAAUGCAGAGUACCUGGUGAAUGGGAAAAUAAAGAUAUUCACAAAGACCUAGUUGAGGCAGUUAACGUAUUUGAGCAAAAAGAAAAUA